GUCUACUGAAUUUAGAGAAUAACACACAUAAAGGAAACAUACCAAAAAGGCAUAUGUACAUAUACAUACGGAAUACAGUAGGUGGGCUGACAAUGCUGUUAUAGAUAACUAUAUACCCAUAACUGAAAGCCGCUAAGGAAACAUACUAUCCAGCUAUACAUAACUUCUACAGUCCAAUAAUAGAAAUACAACUAUAUAAAGAUGGGACUGAGCUACGUCAUACUCAUGCAUAUAUACAAGCAUAUCAUACCAAAAUUAAAAGCCACUCCUGAUCAAGUAGAGCACGCCAACUCUCGUUGAUCAAGGAUCCUAAGAAGGGGGACCGUCAUCUUGACUACCUCCACCUGCAGGCAUGAGCACAAGCCCCGUAAAAUAGGGCGUCAGUACAAAAAUAAGGCAUGAAAAUUAGUACAUAAAAGACAUAGAUGAAACAUGAACUAAAGAGAUCCAUCUAUAAAUCUGAAUAACUUUGUAAAUUCUGAAACAUUUAUAAUGUCAUGUACGUGUAUAUAAAUAUCGCGGCAUGCAUGUGUAUAGGUGUACAUAACAUCAUCAAGACACUGAGGGCAUCUCAUCAUAUCGUCUCGGCCAUUGCGGGCAAUAUCAUUAGCAUAUACCAACUGAUCAGGUGGUGGUGCAUAUAUAACGCCAUAGCCUUUUUUACAUAUCCCACAUAAAUAUAUACAUAUAAAUAUGCGUAUAUAACACAGUCUAGUCAUGGGUCAAUGUAUAUGCAUAAAUGAAUAAAAAUGCAUGAAAAUAUGUUAAAAGUCUCAAUAUUCUUUUCGGAUAAACUUUAUCAACUACCUAUUAUUUUGCGACCAUGAACAGAAGAUAUAAUAAUAUGUCACAUGGGGAAUCAAGAACACAGAGACCCUUAGUAUUUCUAUGAAUAGAGUCGUUUAUGAAACAUAUGUGUUUGCUCGUUUCUUCUGUAUAAUUUGGAUCAUAUCCAAAAGAAAGAAGGGAUAGCCUUAACAUACCUGGAGUAGGAAAAAUCUGUAUAAUAUUCUUGAAAAAGAUUAUACCAUACUCGUUUAGAACCGCAAAAUGUUACGUUGUUACGGUUCUAACAAUUCUCCUUAGAAUUGUUUGCAAGAAUUUCUCGGAAACUUUUCCAGAUGAACCCUAGCAUCUGUUCUUGAAUAAUUGAAUUAGGACGAAAGACUUAUACUUUAAUUAGUUAUUCUCCGUCCAAAAUGAACCAAGCUUUAAAAGAGACCCAAGUUUUUAAACGAGACCAAAUUUUAUCGACAUCUUGAGUGUUUACACGUUAGAUAGCCACUAAUCUUCAUAUGACUACUUCGUCAUUGACUUUGAGCUUCCUUGCUGCCAUGUAUUCUCUUAUAAUUUUAUAACGGCAGAAUGAUCUAAAUGACACUUAUAUUUGUCUCAUUUUGUUAUGUUAGUCCUCAAACUUAAUAAUUUGUCAAUUGAAUACUUACACUUUUUCAUAUCGUGUAUAAUAAACGUUUAUCAUACGAGGCCACUUGUUCAUGUAGUACAAUUUCCUAUACGCAGGACACCACGUCAAGAAAAUUAAACCACGUAAGCUUCAGGUCAAUUAUUAUGCCACAUAGAAAAAUGAAAGGGGAAAUGAUUAUUAUUUCUCCCAACUCCAAUUUAACAUUCAAUUUUAAGUCUGUCAUUACUAACCUCACCAUAAUUGCCGGUGAAUAGAGAGAACACGGUCAAGACAUCGCUGACGCCAUUUGUUCUCAUAUUCUUGAGGUCCCAGUAGAUGAGAAACUACCCUCAUUCAUAAACAAAUGUUGUUGGUCUUUUUUUAAAAAAAAAUAGAGGAAAACUGAUGGCAUAACAGUUUUUGAAAAUGGAGAAAAAUCAAUGGCGCAGCAGAUAUUGAAAACGGAGAAAAAUCAAUUGCGGAACAAGGACGGUUGAAAAUGGAGGAAAAUCAAUGGCAGAACAGUUGAUUUUUACCUCUGAAUUUCAAAGAUUAAAAAUGGAGGAAAAUCAAUGGUGGCUCAGAUCUAUAAUAUUGAAGACAAGGAAAGGGAUUGAAGACAAAAGAAAAAAUUAUCAUCACCAACCUCAUAUUUUUACAGGCUAGAUAAAAUUUUUAUUUGUGUUUGAGACCAAAUUUAUUUAAAAAUAAUUGAUUGGGAUGUAAUCAAGCUGUGAUUAUA
rnacentral:lncRNA from 1 species